CCCUUAGAUGUUCUGGGCCGCACGCGUGCUACACUGAUGCAUUCAACGAGUCUAAAACCUGCUCUGAUAGGGGUGGGUAAUCUUUUGAAUGUGCAUCGUGAUUGGGAUAGAUGAUUGCAAUUUUUCAUCUUCAACGAGGAAUGCCUAGUAAACGCAAGUCAUCAGCUUGCAUUGAUUACGUCCCUGCCCUUUGUACACACCGCCCGUCGCUCCUACCGAUUGAAUGAUCCGAUGAAUAUCAUGGAUUGAGGAUGUAAGCAGGUUCGCCUGUCUUCAUCUUCGAGAAGUGAAGUAAAUCUUAUCAUUUAGAGGAAGGAGAAGUCGUAACA
rnacentral:rRNA from 1 species